rnacentral:lncRNA from 1 species
AUCACCGUAAGGGAAGGAAAGAAAGGAGGCCCAAGUCACUGCAAGGUCCAGCGUCCCCGCUGAGUGACAGCGGGCACAUGGGCGGGACUUAAAAGAGCGGGACUUACAAAGGGCGGGACUUACAAAGGGCGGGACUUGCAAAGGGCGGGACUCCCAAAGUGCUUUGGUAGCUAGCGAGGGCUUUGAGACGGCCGAGAGUUUGAGCGCCAAGGCUCUCUCUCCCCAGGGGACUCUGCAACCUGACUAGGUGCUCCUUCCCUGAGCAUAGUAACAUUCCAGGGAGCUGCCCGGGGAAGCUUAACGCUCGAUGCGGGUGGUAGGAAUGUAUCAUGGUGGGAGAGUCAUGGCAGCAGGCAGCUGGAACAGGACACUAAGUAAGAACACCUUCAACUACAAGCAGAAGUCAAGGAGAACUGAAAGUGACAACUGGAACCUUGAGAGCCAAGGGAGAUUGUGGAGAGGAUGUGAGCAGAUGGCCGCUGAGGAUAGCUGACCGGGUGGGUGGGCUGGAACCUAGGCCAGGACCUGCCACCUGAGGAUUGUGCCUGCGAUGUCCAUAUGAUUGUGAACAGCUAAACAGGGAGCUCUGCUCUGUUGAAAAUCAUAAAGUUGAAAAUGAAAAGAGAUAAAACCUUAAGCACAGAAGAAUAUUUUGUCUUUGGUGAAAAGAACAACUUAAGAUUAAUUUUAUUUUUAUGCUGUAUAUGCGUGUGGGUAUGUGCAUGCAAAUUUGGGUGACUCCAAAGGUCAGAGCAUCAAAUCACUUGGAGCUGGGAUUAUAGGCAAAUGAAAGCUGCCAAGCAUAGGAAUCUAACGAAUGUCCUCUGUAUGAGCAGAGAGUACUCCUUACUGCAGAGCCAUGUUUCCAGCUUAAGGAGGGCUUUUAGAAAGAAGAUUGAUAGAGAAUACAUACUUAAUAGUUUGAUGUACUAAAAAGGUUAAUUUUUAUUCACUAUAGACACUAGAAAUAAUAUUUACAAUUUAUAUAAUGCAUGUGAUUAUAGAACUAGAAGUAACAAUAUUAAAUAUAAAUAAAUUAUUGUAAGUCAGAUAAGAGAGAUGGAAACCCCAGUAGGAAAAACCCAUUAAAGUAACUAAAAUGUGGACAAAUGAAGGUGUAUCGUUUAUUUUUACAAUUGUAAUGUUAUAUAAUUAGUAAGCACAGUUUUAUAUAAGAAAGGUGUUUAUUUGCACUAGGAAAAUGUAAAACACAAAGCAGAAGACCAUAUCGAACUAGCACUAAUUUAAGAUUUAGUAACAAGAGCUACCAGGGAGGUGAAGAUAUGAUACCCUUAUAUUCUGGCAGCCUGACAGAAGCUUCUUAAGUUACAACAUCCCCAAGCCAUUUUCCAAAGCCAACUCUCAUCAUAGAACCCUUGAGCUAGCAAAAUACACUGAUUUUAAUAUUGUUUAUGGUUUUGGAAGCAUGGAAACAAACUGUCUUUGUUACAGAACAUGAUCUAAUACCUAUCAUGAUUUACUUUUAAGAACAAAGAUAUAUUAAUGUAUAACACAAUGUAUGUAUAAUUACAUAUGUGUAAUGUAUAUCACAAAG